CUGGUCCUACGGGAGGCAGCAGUGGGGGAUAUUGCACAAUGGGGGGAACCCUGAUGCAGCGACGCCGCGUGGGUGAAGGAGCGUUUCGGCUCGUAAAGCUCUGUUGGUAGUGAAGAAAGAUAGAGGUAGUAACUGGCCUUUAUUUGACGGUAAUUACUUAGAAAGUCACGGCUAACUACGUGCCAGCAGCCGCGGUAAUACGUAGGUGGCAAGCGUUGUCCGGAUUUAUUGGGCGUAAAGCGAGUGCAGGCGGGUCAAUAAGUCCGAUGUGAAAGCCUUCUG
rnacentral:rRNA from 1 species